rnacentral:rRNA from 2 species
AGGUGUGACGUCACGCAUCAGACCU